AUCUGGGUGACGAAGAAAAUUGAUCGGAUUCCCACUGAUAUUUCAUGAUUAUUAAUAACCAGAUUCUGACGGAU